rnacentral:rRNA from 1 species
GGUGAACGCUAGCGAUAGGCUUAACACAUGCAAGUCGAGGGGCAGCAUGGUCUUAGCUUGCUAAGACUGAUGGCGACCGGCGCACGGGUGCGUAACGCGUAUGCAACUUGCCUCACAGAGGGGGAUAACCCGUCGAAAGACGGACUAAUACCGCGUACACUCCAUCUUGGGCAUCCAAGGUAGAGGAAAUGAAAUUCGCUGUGAGAUAGGCAUGCGUCCCAUUAGCUAGUUGGUGAGGUAGCGGCUCACCAAGGCGACGAUGGGUAGGGGAACUGAGAGGGUGCACCCCCACACUGGUACUGAGACACGGACCAGACUACUACGGGAGGCAGCAGUGAGGAAUAUUGGUCACUGGGCGCGAGCCUGAACCAGCCAAGUCGCGUGAAGGAUGACUGUCUUAUGGAUUGUAAACUUCUUUUAUACGGGAAUAACAAGAGUCACGUGUGACUCCCUGCAUGUACCGUAUGAAUAAGCCUCGGCUAACUCCGUG